AUAAACAAUGUAAUUAUUAUAAAACUUACUUUGCAACUUCCCAUUGUUUAAUAAACUCACAUAUUUUUUUAAAAACUUCAUAUUCCUUUCUAUAUAGUUUCAUGUCGAGAACAGUAAAUACUUUCAUAGCUUAAAAUAUACAUGGAAAAGCUUAGACAGUUGGCCUAUCAACAGCUGACUUAACUUUUAGUGUUAUGAAUUUAGAAAAA